GUGACAUUUGUUUGAAGAUUUUUCGCCUCCACCAGAUGACGACCGUGGACAGAUAACAGAUAGGUCGCCAGUUCGUCGCUUGUUGUCAGAAAUACCCCAUGCAUACACAUUUGUUUUGUGUGUUAAAAGUGUUUGGUUUAAAAAACGUGUUAAACCAGUAAGGAAGGUUACGUAACUAAGAUGAAUGAAGAAAGUUGCAUACACAACAUAGAAUGUGUGCACACAUGUCAUAGAACCACAUGAAAAAGAAAGUGACAGACUAAUAAUGCAUUGUUGGUAAAUGGUGACAGACUGACUGAUCUGCAAGUAAUAAUAAAUAUGUAUUUGUUAUGCAAAGGGAUUGUAGAUCAGUCAGUCUGCGUGUGGAGGAGGAUGAAGACUAGUUACGUGCAGGACAUAGUAAAACACACGCUAUCAUUGACAUGCAGCUUUUCUCAUAGACGGGAGGUUACUAUGUGAAGGAAUGUGUUUAGAUUGGUAGUUGUCUCUUUAUGUUUCUUUUGAGAUGGUAUGGCCUCCGAGGACACCCAAGACCAACUGGAUGAGGCUAUUAAAAAGGCAGACCGGCUUUCUGAGGAGCUCAACCAAGAGAAGGACCCACAAACCCAACUGGACGAGGCCAUUAACGAGGCAAAAAGGCUGACUGAGGAGCUCAACCCAGAACGGGCAAUGUAACAAGUCGUACAUUACCGCUCCAAGAGCCAGUACAUCAAGAGCCAGACUAGUGCAAAAAAUGUUGGGCCGGUCACUGAGGAGGAAGAAUCAGGACCUGAGCCCUAGGACCAUGCCUCAGGACUACCUGACAUGAUGACUCCUUG